CAUUAUGACCUUUCAUCAUAAUUGUGUCCCACACUCAAGGCUGACACUUUUUCACACAGUUCUCUAUACCUAAUCCUCUUUGAUCCCCAAAAUUCAAUG